rnacentral:rRNA from 1 species
AAACCCUGACGCAGCAACGCCGCGUGGAGGAUGACACUUUUCGGAGCGUAAACUCCUUUUCUUAGGGAAGAAUUCUGACGGUACCUAAGGAAUAAGCACCGGCUAACUCCGUGCCAGCAGCCGCGGUAAUACGGAGGGUGCAAGCGUUACUCGGAAUCACUGGGCGUAAAGGGCGCGUAGGCGGAUUAUCAAGUCUCUUGUGAAAUCUAAUGGCUUAACCAUUAAACUGCUUGGGAAACUGAUAGUCUAGAGUGAGGGAGAGGCAGAUGGAAUUGGUGGUGUAGGGGUAAAAUCCGUAGAUAUCACCAAGAAUACCCAUUGCGAAGGCGAUCUGCUGGAACUCAACUGACGCUAAGGCGCGAAAGCGUGGGGAGCAAACAGGAUUAGAUACCCUGGUAGUCCACGCCCUAAACGAUGUACACUAGUUGUUGGGGUGCUAGUCAUCUCAGUAAUGCAGCUAACGCAUUAAGUGUACCGCCUGGGGAGUACGGUCGCAAGAUUAAAACUCAAAGGAAUAGACGGGGACCCGCACAAGCGGUGGAGCAUGUGGUUUAAUUCGAAGAUACGCGAAGAACCUUACCUGGGCUUGAUAUCCUAAGAACCUUUUAGAGAUAAGAGGGUGCUAGCUUGCUAGAACUUAGAGACAGGUGCUGCACGGCUGUCGUCAGCUCGUGUCGUGAGAUGUUGGGUUAAGUCCCGCAACGAGCGCAACCCACGUAUUUAGUUGCUAACGGUUCGGCCGAGCACUCUAAAUAGACUGCCUUCGUAAGGAGGAGGAAGGUGUGGACGACGUCAAGUCAUCAUGGCCCUUAUGCCCAGGGCGACACACGUGCUACAAUGGCAUAUACAAUGAGACGCAAUACCGCGAGGUGGAGCAAAUCUAUAAAAUAUGUCCCAGUUCGGAUUGUUCUCUGCAACUCGAGAGCAUGAAGCCGGAAUCGCUAGUAAUCGUAGAUCAGCCAUGCUACGGUGAAUACGUUCCCGGGUCUUGUACUCACCGCCCGUCACACCAUGGGAGUUGAUUUCACUCGAAGCCGGAAUACUAAACUAGUUACCGUCCACAGUGGAAUCAGCGACUGGGGUGAAGUCGUAACAAGGUAACCGUAGGAGAACCUGCGGUUGGAUCACCU